CUGUGGAUAUUUGAUAGAAAGUUGGUCGAUAGAAAAUUGAUACUUUGAACAUUUAAGUUUGUGGUUCAUAAUUACUAAAGAAAUCCAGUGGAUAUUUAGUUUGAAUCUUGAUAAAUAGAAAAAAGUCAAAACAAUUUCUGUUUCAAAGUUUGACAGUAUCUUUACUAUCUUGGACAAUUAUGUACCCCUUUCCUCUGGUGCUGAAUAUCUCAAUAUAAUUCAAUCUUUAUGAUACCUGAAUCAUUAUUAAAUUG
rnacentral:lncRNA from 1 species